CGUCAGAGGCUGCGGAAUACCGGCUUGCGAACCCCGCCAGGGCCGGAAGGCAGCAACGGUAGCUCGUCCGGCAUUGCCGCAGUUCUCUGGCACUU
rnacentral:SRP_RNA from 2 species